AUACUUAUCUGGCAGGGGAGAUACCAUGAUCACGAAGGUGGUUUUCCCAGGGCGAGGCUUAUCCAUUGCACUCGGGAUGUGCUGACCCCUGCGAUUUCCCCAAAUGUGGAAAACUCGACUGCAUAAUUUGUGGUAGUAGGGGACUGCGUUCGCGCUCUCCCCUA
rnacentral:snRNA from 1 species